CCCUUAGAUGUUCUGGGCGGCCCGCGCACUACAUUGGCACUCUCAAUGAGUUCCUAGAUCUAAAACUUUGGGGUAUUCUAUUAAGUGGUGUCGUGACUGGGAUUAACCCUUGCAAUUAUUGGUUACGAACGAGGAAUUCCUUGUAAUCGCGGUUUAUCAGCCCGCGUUGAAUGCGUCCCUGCCCUUUGUACACACCGCCCGUCGCUCCUACCGAUGAAUCGUCCGGUGAAGUUCAUGGAGUGGUGGUUGUUCCAGCUGCUGUCGAAGUGAAAUGGACCUCACGAUUUAGAGGAAGGAGAAGUCGUAACA
rnacentral:rRNA from 1 species